AAAGUUGUAGCGCAGUGGAAGCGCGCAUCCUUUCCAGGAUGAGGACGCGGGUUCGAAUCCCGCCAACUCCC
rfam:Cryptosporangium arvum DSM 44712 genomic scaffold CryarDRAFT_CAH.1, whole genome shotgun sequence.